GCAGUGUACCCGCGGCAAGACGGAAAGACCCCGUGAACCUUUACUAUAGCUUGACACUGAACAUUGAGCCUUGAUGUGUAGGAUAGGUGGGAGGCUUUGAAGUGUGGACGCCAGUCUGCAUGGAGCCGACCUUGAAAUACCACCCUUUAAUGUUUGAUGUUCUAACGUUGACCCGUAAUCCGGGUUGCGGACAGUGUCUGGUGGGUAGUUUGACUGGGGCGGUCUCCUCCUAAAGAGUAACGGAGGAGCACGAAGGUUGGCUAAUCCUGGUCGGACAUCAGGAGGUUAGUGCAAUGGCAUAAGCCAGCUUGACUGCGAGCGUGACGGCGCGAGCAGGUGCGAAAGCAGGUCAUAGUGAUCCGGUGGUUCUGAAUGGAAGGGCCAUCGCUCAACGGAUAAAAGGUACUCCGGGGAUAACAGGCUGAUACCGCCCAAGAGUUCAUAUCGACGGCGGUGUUUGGCACCUCGAUGUCGGCUCAUCACAUCCUGGGGCUGAAGUAGGUCCCAAGGGUAUGGCUGUUCGCCAUUUAAAGUGGUACGCGAGCUGGGUUUAGAACGUCGUGAGACAGUUCGGUCCCUAUCUGCCGUGGGCGCUGGAGAACUGAGGGGGGCUGCUCCUAGUACGAGAGGACCGGAGUGGACGCAUCACUGGUGUUCGGGUUGUCAUGCCAAUGGCACUGCCCGGUAGCUAAAUGCGGAAGAGAUAAGUGCUGAAAGCAUCUAAGCACGAAACUUGCCCCGAGAUGAGUUCUCCCUGACUCCUUGAGAGUCCUGAAGGAACGUUGAAGACGACGACGUUGAUAGGCCGGGUGUGUAAGCGCAGCGAUGCGUUGAGCUAACCGGUACUAAUGAACCGUGAGG
rnacentral:rRNA from 1 species